rnacentral:lncRNA from 13 species
GGGUGACUUUUGUGUUUAGGACUUUUUGAUCCUGGAGAAAAGCAGAUGAGGCUCAAGAGAAAGUGUCGUAAAGAUUAAUGAGGGCUGUGACUGGAAGAGGACCUGGGAUUGACAUCAUCAGUGUCCGGAUAUUGGCUAGAGUUUGUACAUUCCAACUUGCUGUUUGGGCUUUGUUGGACAUAACCUACGUCUGGAUGGCAGGGUGAAAAUUGGAUAAACAGCCACACUGACUCAGGGGAGUUUUUUUAUGCAAACAUCUGUUUCUUGAAUUUGGCCAUGGUAAGACCUAAGGGAAGGGGGAAUACCAGUUGAUGAAAUAAGAUCGAGAAGAUACUGCUUCAUUUUUUUCUUCUGUUUCAGGAGUAUAAAUCCUGCCUUCUCUCAGCCUUACAGAGGAAGAAAACCCUUUCCAAGUUUCCUCUGAUACUGGGUUUAUGCCCAAUUCUAGUUUAGGUGAAAAAGAUUGAUCAUCAAAUGUUUCUUAUGAUUCAACCUGAUAUUUAAAUCCAUGAAGGAGAGAGAUGACAAAGGCAGGUAAAUCGAUAGAGAAGAGGUCCCAGGUCUGCGCCCUGCGUUACUCGAACUGUUAGAGGUUAGGAAGAAGACCUGGCAAAAGAACGUGCGGAGAUGUUGGAAGAAAACCAGCAGCUGUGGUCGCUGGAAAUCGAAAGAAGGAAAGGCCUCCAGAAGGACAAAGUGUACAGUGCGUCAGAGGCUCCUGAGCAAUCAGAGGACGGCAUAAAAGGGGUCACAGGACACUGGUACCCGGAUCACCCAGUGACAUUCUUUAAUCAUGAGAAACUGUCAGACCAACAGGGGCACUUUCUGCACCAGCAGUUCUUCAGUGCCCAAAGGCAACCUUGAUGGUCUAAUUUUGGAGGAUGGCGAUUCAUUGACAGCACUCCCCAAAUGAUAUACAUGAAAACUAAUAAAACCCCCAGCCAAGGCAACCUCUCCCAGCUCCUUGCUUUGAGUGAAGAGAAACCUGUAGAAGCAAUCCUAGGGCAGCCUCUGGGUCAGUUUUCCCUAAUAAGAAGCCAGAGCUCCUCUUUACCCAGACGUCAGACCCAUGGAGACAGCCUGGGAUCCUGGGAUGCCCUCCCGCUCAGAGAUGUCCCCAUUGUCCGAGGAAAAUGGAGGCUGACUAGGAAGAAGCGGUCUGUGGCCGGGGAUGGGUCUACACAUUCUAAUCCAUCUCAGUACUGUCUGCUAUUGAUUUUUCGUGCAGAUCACAUUAAUUUAAAGCCAGUUCUCAAGAAGCACCACCCUGUCCCCGACAUAUCCACCAGUUGGGCCCCUUUCCUGCCAUUAAUCAGUGUCUGCUAAUUAGAGAACAAACUCCUGUUUGUCCAAACCGUUGCCAAGACCCCCACCGCAAGGCAGUUAAAUGAGGAUAAAUGAGUCCAUCUUAUUAAAAAGUGACUUAAAUUUAUCAAAUUCUAUUUAUGUUUCUUUUACAUCCCAAUUUUCUAUAGAGUUAGUGGUUCCAAAUGAUAAGGUCUCAAGCCCAUAGUAAUUUAUCCUUUGAGUAACACAAGCUUGGCGGUAUUUUGGUAAUAUUCAUGACAACAGCAGCAGUGGUGCUAACAAGGACUGAUGUCACCAGAGCACCUUCUAUGUCCAAGCAUGGUGCACCAUACUUCCCAUGCAUUAUCUCAUUUAAUUUUCACAAAAGCUCGCAGAGGUAAAUAUUAUUGUCUUCCUCUGCACAUAAGGAAACGAAUGUUCGGAAAGAUUAAGUCAACUCACUGAGAUGCUGCAGGUGCUCUUUCACAGGCCCCUGCUGCCGUCUCAUUGAACUAUUGACAUCAGAAAAACCUGGGGACCUUGCUAACCUUCAGAUUCCUGGGCCGCAUCUUGGAUGCAGGGAGUCAGACUUCCGGGGAGUGUGGCCCCGGAAUUCGCAUUUUUAAACACAUUCCCCAGGAGACUUGUAGGCACACUAAAGUUGGGGAACUCAUGAUCUCUGGCUUUCAUGAUGUUUUAAAUGCACUACAUAAAUCCAGUAGCAAAAGAGUUUGGCUUUGGGAAGGGAGUGUGUGGUGAACCCUGAAAGCUGAAUGGACUUCCUUCCUGUGGAGGGGCAGUGGGAAAAAUUGGAGGCAGAGAGGUGUGUUGCAGUCCUUGAUGGAGCUUAUGUGAGUUAUUUAAUCUCUCAGUCUCUAGUUUUUCAUCUGUAAACCAGCAAGGAUACUUUUAUUUCCAGGUGGUUGUGAAGUGUGGAAGAGAUGAGAGUAGAAUAAAAUUUUAAAAAA